rnacentral:rRNA from 1 species
UACAGAGGGGGGCAAGCGUUGUUCGGAAUUACUGGGCGUAAAGCGUGCGCAGGCGGUUGUGCAAGACCGAUGUGAAAUCCCCGGGCUUAACCUGGGGAAUGGCAUUGGUGACUGCACGGCUAGAGUGUGUCAGAGGGGGGGUAGAAUUCCACGUGUAGCAGUGAAAUGCGUAGAGAUGUGGAGGAAUACCGAUGGCGAAGGCAGCCCCCCUGGGAUAACACUGACGCUCAUGCACGGAAAGCGUGGGGAGCAAACAGG